rnacentral:rRNA from 1 species
UACGAGGGGGGCAAGCGUUGUUCGGAUUUAUUGGGCGUAAAGGGUGCGUAGGCGGUUUGGCAAGUCUGAUGUGAAAUCUAUGGGCUCAACCCAUAGUCUGCAUCAGAAACUGCCGGGCUUGAGUAUGGGAGAGGUGAGUGGAAUUUCCGGUGUAGCGGUGAAAUGCGUAGAUAUCGGAAGGAACACCUGUGGCGAAAGCGGCUCACUGGACCAUAACUGACGCUGAUGCGCGAAAGCUAGGGGAGCAAACAGG